rnacentral:rRNA from 1 species
ACAGGGAUUGCCCUAGUAACGGCGAGUGAAGCGGCAACAGCUCAAAUUUGAAAUCUGGCGUCUUCGGCGUCCGAGUUGUAAUUUGCAGAGGGCGCUUUGGCAUUGGCAGCGGUCCAAGUUCCUUGGAACAGGACGUCACAGAGGGUGAGAAUCCCGUACGUGGUCGCUAGCCUUUACCGUGUAAAGCCCCUUCGACGAGUCGAGUUGUUUGGGAAUGCAGCUCUAAAUGGGAGGUAAAUUUCUUCUAAAGCUAAAUACUGGCCAGAGACCGAUAGCGCACAAGUAGAGUGAUCGAAAGAUGAAAAGCACUUUGGAAAGAGAGUUAAAAAGCACGUGAAAUUGUUGAAAGGGAAGCGCUUGCAGCCAGACUUGCCUGUAGUUGCUCAUCCGGGUUUUUACCCGGUGCACUCUUCUAUAGGCAGGCCAGCAUCAGUUUGGGCGGUUGGAUAAAGGUCUCUGUCAUGUACCUCCUUUCGGGGAGAACUUAUAGGGGAGACGACAUGCAACCAGCCUGGACUGAGGUCCGCGCAUCUGCUAGGAUGCUGGCGUAAUGGCUGUAAGCGGCCCGUCUUGAAACACGGACCAAGGAGUCUAACAUCUAUGCGAGUGUUUGGGUGUCAAGCCCGAACGCGUAAUGAAAGUGAACGGAGGUGGGAACCUUUCGGGGUGCACCAUCGACCGAUCCUGAUGUCUUCGGAUGGAUUUGAGUAAGAGCAUAGCUGUUGGGACCCGAAAGAUGGUGAACUAUGCUUGAAUAGGGUGAAGCCAGAGGAAACUCUGGUGGAGGCUCGCAGCGGUUCUGACGUGCAAAUCGAUCGUCAAAUUUGGGCAUAGGGGCGAAAGACUAAUCGAUCCAUUCAUGU